GCCUCAGUACUGCGAGUGAGCGGCAAGCUCAAUUUGAAUCUGGCCCGUCUCUGGCGGCCCGAGUUGUAUUUGGAGGGGCAUUUUCGGAGUGGCGCCGUCCUAGUUCCUUGGACAGGACGUCACAGAGGGUGAGAUCCGUGCCUGGAUGGCUGUCCCGCUCCAUGUGAGGUGUCUCCGACGAGUCGAGUUGUUUGGGAAUGCAGCUCAAAUGGGUGGUAAAUUUCAUCUAAAGCUAAAUAUUGGCGAGAGACCGAUAGCGCACAAGUAGAGUGAUCGAAAGAUGAAAAGCACUUUGAAAAGAGAGUUAAAAGUACGUGAAAUUGUUGAAAGGGAAGCGCUUGAGACCAGACUCAGCCGCUGACGAUCAACGGUGCUUCUGUGCCGUGCACUCGCCAGUGUUGGGCCAGCAUCGGUUCCGGCGGCGGGAAAAAGGCCUGGGCAAUGUGGCUCCCUCGGGGAGUGUAUAGGCCCAGGUGUCAUACGCCAGCCGGACCGAGGACCGCGCUUCGGCUAGGAUGCUGGCGUAAUGGUCUUAAGCGACCCGUCUGAAACACGGACCAGAGUCUACAUCUAUGCGAGUGUUCGGGUGAAACCCUGCGCGUAAUGAAAGUGAACGGAGGUGGGAACCCUCGGGUGCACCAUCGACCGAUCCUGAUGUCUCGAAGAUUGAGUAGGAGCAUAGCUGUGGACCGGAAGAUGGUGAACUAUGCCUGAAUAGGGUGAAGCCAGAGGAAACUCUGGUGGAGGCUCGCAGCGGUCUGACGUGCAAAUC
rnacentral:rRNA from 1 species